AGUGAACGCUGGCGGUAGGCCUAACACAUGCAAGUCGAACGGCAGCACAGUAAGAGCUUGCUCUUACGGGUGGCGAGUGGCGGACGGGUGAGGAAUACAUCGGAAUCUACUUUUUCGUGGGGGAUAACGUAGGGAAACUUACGCUAAUACCGCAUCCGACCUACGGGUGAAAGCAGGGGAUCUUCGGACCUUGCGCGAUUGAAUGAGCCGAUGUCGGAUUAGCUAGUUGGCGGGGUAAAGGCCCACCAAGGCGACGAUCCGUAGCUGGUCUGAGAGGAUGAUCAGCCACACUGGAACUGAGACACGGUCCAGACUCCUACGGGAGGCAGCAGUGGGGAAUAGUGGACAAUGGGCGCAAGCCUGAUCCAGCCAUACCGCGUGGGUGAAGAAGGCCUUCGGGUUGUAAAGCCAUUUUGUUGGGAAAGAAAAGCAGCAGGUUAAUACCCCGCUGUUCUGACGGUACCCAAAGAAUAAGCACCGGCUAACUUCGUG
rnacentral:rRNA from 1 species